AAGCAUUUUUUCCAUGUGUCAUUCCAAUAACCGCCAGCGUUCAUCUUGAGCCAGGAUCGAACUCUCCAUGAGAUUCCUAGUUGCAUUACUUAUAGCUCACCUCAUCCUAGAAAGCCACGUGUCACUCCCUUCUUUCUCUUCGCUGUUGAAUGCGUCCCUGAAAUCACUGGCCCUUAGUUGCUUCAUCUUCCUCCGUUUGAAUUCGUGAGAUUGGGAACCCUAAGCCUCAUUUCCUCCAUGAAAUUCUCAUCACACAACCUCCACGACCUCCUCCACAAGUUCGUGAGAGUGGGAACCCUAAACCUCAUCUCCUCCAUGAUACUUAGCUUUGUCGACUUUCGGUGCCACAACAAACACCACCAAUCUGAACAAAUAGCACGAGGGUAAGAGUGUUUCAGAGGCUGGAGAGAUUGGUGAUCGAGCAAUUUUAAGUAGAAGGCUCAGUGAGAGAAGCAGUUUCACUUUGUUAUUUGACCACAGGAACAAUGUAAAGGUUUGGCAGAGUUACUGAACUACGCUUCAUGUCUGCUUCACCCAUCAGUUUUUGCAAUACUUGAGGUCAAAACCGGGGAUUGUGAUACUUUUGUAGCAGGACUAGAGUUUGGAGUGAUGGGGUGUCUACUUUUGCAGCAGAGUUCAAUGCAAUGAAUCCUUGGAGAGCCUAUGUCUAUGCUAUCAUCACAAAAUGUGUCUCAUUUUCUGCUGGCAUCUUAAUGUACUGAGUUCGUCCUAAUUUUACAUGACAAAAAGAAACUCAGAAAUUCACAGAAAUGGGGGUGGGGGUGUGAAGAGAUUUUAAAGCUGAUCAAAAGCCUGGUCACAGAACAUGAACCUGGUGCUAAUUCAUCACAAUAGAGGUUUCGUAACUUGUCCAUUCUCAAUUUCCCAUGGUGUGAUGUGUAAAGAUUAUAACACAUUAGAUUGACAGUUGAAAUCAUCAUAAAAAGCAGACGUGCACUGAAAUACAGGAAGAAUAACCAGAAGAAGAAGUGAACCUGAAAGUUUUCUGCAUGUACUUCACCAGAAGGCACUGCAAACACAAAAACAUGAAGGGCUAUAAUGACUAGGACUCUGCUUCAAACAUGAUAUUUGUGAAGCCUAGAUCAAGACACCUGCAAAUUGCCCAUCGAAAACACAUUGCUUCUGCAAUGACAGGUUGUGACAAAAUUUACCUUGACUCCUCCCAUAUCAGUUCGCGACGAGCAUUGCAGAAAUUGAUUUGCUGCUGCGGACUUGUGCAUAUGAGAGGAAACAACUGGUGCGGAACAUGCAGAUAGACCAAGUUGAAUUGUUUGUUGAAUAAUAUUCGAUUGUGUCGCAUCCCCACAGCCCAAAUGAAUUCUAUAUGUGUGCUAACAGUUUCCACAUCGUCUAAUUGAAGCAGAUUAUCAACCCGGGAAGGGUUUCUACCACAGUUAAUUAACAGCACAUCAUAAUUUGAGUACGUUAAUAACUAGUGUUGAGAUAAGCAAAAAAAAUCAAAAUUUGAGUAAGGUCAAGUUCGUGAUCAUUGAAUGUUCCAUCCACAUUGGGCCAUUUGGUAGUAGAUAUUUCUCUCACAUGGUUUUUGCAAUUGCAUCAUAUAACUGCAAGUUUAACCGCAUAAGUUUAUGAUUUUCUGCAACUGCAAUUUAAUCCUUGAUUCUCUAUAGUCUUUUGAUUUGGUUUAAUUAGGAUUACAACAUGCAUCGCAGUAUUAAAAGCCUACUACCCCUUUCCACCAAAUCUCCCCCCAAAAGAAAAUUUAAUAAAUCCUACAAUUGAAUUAACUCAGAGGCACAUUUAUUUGCCCGUGCUUUAUUCAUAAUUCAGAUUCAGAUUGCUUGCUUGCUCCCAUCAGAACAAAACCAAAUAUAA